rnacentral:rRNA from 1 species
GCCUAACACAUGCAAGUCGAGCGGCAGCACGGGAAGCUUGCUUCCUGGUGGCGAGCGGCGGACGGGUGAGUAAUGCAUAGGAAUCUGCCCGGUAGUGGGGGAUAACCUGGGGAAACCCAGGCUAAUACCGCAUACGUCCUACGGGAGAAAGCAGGGGCUCUUCGGACCUUGCGCUAUCGGAUGAGCCUAUGUCGGAUUAGCUGGUUGGUGAGGUAAUGGCUCACCAAGGCGACGAUCCGUAGCUGGUCUGAGAGGAUGAUCAGCCACAUCGGGACUGAGACACGGCCCGAACUCCUACGGGAGGCAGCAGUGGGGAAUAUUGGACAAUGGGCGCAAGCCUGAUCCAGCCAUGCCGCGUGUGUGAAGAAGGCCCUCGGGUUGUAAAGCACUUUCAGUGGGGAAGAAAGCCUUCCGGUUAAUACCCGGGAGGAAGGACAUCACCCGCAGAAGAAGCACCGGCUAACUCCGUGCCAGCAGCCGCGGUAAUACGGAGGGUGCGAGCGUUAAUCGGAAUUACUGGGCGUAAAGCGCGCGUAGGUGGCUUGAUAAGCCGGUUGUGAAAGCCCCGGGCUCAACCUGGGAACGGCAUCCGGAACUGUCAGGCUAGAGUGCAGGAGAGGAAGGUAGAAUUCCCGGUGUAGCGGUGAAAUGCGUAGAGAUCGGGAGGAAUACCAGUGGCGAAGGCGGCGUUCUGGACUGACACUGACACUGAGGUGCGAAAGCGUGGGUAGCAAACAGGAUUAGAUACCUGGUAGUCCACGCCGUAAACGAUGUCGACUAGCCGUUGGGUCCUUCGCGGACUUUGUGGCGCAGUUAACGCGAUAAGUCGACCGCCUGGGGAGUACGGCCGCAAGGUUAAAACUCAAAUGAAUUGACGGGGGCCCGCACAAGCGGUGGAGCAUGUGGUUUAAUUCGAUGCAACGCGAAGAACCUUACCUACCCUUGACAUCCUGCGAACCCUUCGGAGACGAAGGGGUGCCUUCGGGAACGCAGAGACAGGUGCUGCAUGGCUGUCGUCAGCUCGUGUUGUGAAAUGUUGGGUUGAGUCCCGUAACGAGCGCAACCCUUGUCCCUAUUUGCCAGCGAUUCGGUCGGGAACUCUAGGGAGACUGCCGGUGACAAACCGGAGGAAGGUGGGGACGACGUCAAGUCAUCAUGGCCCUUACGGGUAGGGCUACACACGUGCUACAAUGGUCAGUACAAAGGGUUGCGAACUUGCGAGAGUGAGCCAAUCCCAGAAAGCUGAUCUCAGUCCGGAUCGGAGUCUGCAACUCGACUCCGUGAAGUCGGAAUCGCUAGUAAUCGUGAAUCAGAAUGUCACGGUGAAUACGUUCCCGGGCCUUGUACACACCGCCCGUCACACCAUGGGAGUGGACUGCACCAGAAGUGGUUAGCCUAACCUUCGGGAGGGCGAUCACCACGGUGUGGUUCAUGACUGGGGUGAAGUCGUAACAAGGUAGCCGUAGGGGAACCUGCGGCUGGAUCACCUCCUU